rnacentral:rRNA from 1 species
GGCAUGCCUAAUACAUGCAAGUCGAGCGAAUGACGAAGAAGCUUGCUUCUUCUGAUUUAGCGGCGGACGGGUGAGUAACACGUGGGCAACCUGCCCUGUAGAUUGGGAUAACUCCGGGAAACCGGGGCUAAUACCGAAUAAUCCAUUUCCUCACAUGGGGAGAUGUUAAAAGACGGUUUCGGCUGUCACUACAGGAUGGGCCCGCGGCGCAUUAGCUAGUUGGUGAGGUAACGGCUCACCAAGGCGACGAUGCGUAGCCGACCUGAGAGGGUGAUCGGCCACACUGGGACUGAGACACGGCCCAGACUCCUACGGGAGGCAGCAGUAGGGAAUCUUCCACAAUGGACGAAAGUCUGAUGGAGCAAUGCCGCGUGAGUGAAGAAGGUUUUCGGAUCGUAAAACUCUGUUGUGAGGGAAGAACAAGUACGAGAGUAACUGCUCGUACCUUGACGGUACCUCAUUAGAAAGCCACGGCUAAC